rnacentral:rRNA from 1 species
UGGGGAAUUUUGGACAAUGGACGCAAGUCUGAUCCAGCCAUGCCGCGUGCGGGAAGAAGGCCUUCGGGUUGUAAACCGCUUUUGUCAGGGAAGAAAAGUCUGGAGCUAAUAUCUCCGGACGAUGACGGUACCUGAAGAAUAAGCACCGGCUAACUACGUGCCAGCAGCCGCGGUAAUACGUAGGGUGCAAGCGUUAAUCGGAAUUACUGGGCGUAAAGCGUGCGCAGGCGGUUCUAUAAGACAGAUGUGAAAUCCCCGGCUCAAGCCUGGGAACUGGCAAUUGUGACUGUUAGAGCUGGAGUACGGCAGA